GCGCUGCCCGGAGCCGCCGCGCCGAUGCCACGUGGGAGGCGGCGGAGCCGCCGUCGGCGCCGGGCCGGAACCGCGGCCCCCCUGACGUUGGGGACGGCGCUCGCCGGGCGUCGGGAGGAGGGGAGGUCUCGGAGCCCCCGGGACCGCAGCGCGGUGGCCGAGACCCGAUGGGUGCUCGGCGCCGUAGCGCCCGGCUCGCGGCUCGGCCUCCCGGGCCUAGAGGCGCUGGCGGCGGCGGCCGGGCCUAGGGGCGGCUCCCCGCCCUGGGCGGCGCCCGCGCUGCUCCAGGUGCCGGCGGCGGCCCAGCCGGCCCCGCGGCGGGACGGCAGCGACCUGCCCGCCUGCGCGCCCGCCGCCCUGGCCGUGCUGCGCCUGCAGCCGGGCGCCGAGGGAGCGGCGCGGGCGGCGGCGGCGGCGGCCGGGGCCGCGCCGCGCCUGCGGACCGUCUACGUGAACCCGCGCUGGCUGGAGCGGCAGGCCGCGCUGGGGGCGGCGGCGGCGGCGGCCAGCCCCUGCGCCGAGGCGGCGGCGGCGGCGGCUGCGGCGGUGGCGAACAGCGCGGCCGGGGACCCGGCAUCGGCGUCGGCCGCGGCGGCGGGGCAGGGCGAGGCGGCAGCGGCGGCGGCGGCGCCCGCGCCCGCGCCCCCCACGGCGGAAGCGGCGGCCACCCCCUACGUGGGGCUGCGGCGGCCCCUGGGCUACCAGCUGGCCAAGGCCACCAAGGAGCGCAUCUGGCGGGGGGAGUUCAUUGACCUCUUUUCCUUGCUCCACACAGAGCUGACCCCCGAGCACGGCCCGCACCCGGGGGACACGCUGGACCAGUGGGUGUCGGCCUUUCUGGUGUACGCCAGCGUGGUGUGCGAGAAGCACCCGGCGCGCUGCGGGGCCAUGUUCAAGUACCUGGACACCAUCCGUAAGCUGCACGCCACCUACGGGGGCACCUCGUGGAUGAACUACGACGAGGACUUCCGGCGGCGGGCGGCCAAGGACCCCAACCUGCCGUGGGGCGACGUCGACCUGGACCUGUGGAUGAAGUGGAUGGCCCCUCUCAAGUCGCUCCUCAGCAGGCACAAUCGUAUCGAGAGCGAGCCGAAGGCCGCGCCGCCGGCACAGCCACCGCCUUCAUCGUCGUCGUCAUCCCAGAGCCCCAAGAAGGAGGAGAAGAGCCAGGAGUUGGAAAUGCCAGUCGUUCUCUCCCUUGGGAUGUAACGCGUUUUCCUUAGGACAUCAGAAGAAAGGUUCCUUUUCUUUUUUUUUUCGAAUUGUCUUAAAACAAAUAGCUUUCUCAGCAAUAAAAUUGUAUCUAAGAUCCUGAGACAAAGAGUAGAGGCCUGUUACUGUGGGAGCAUGUGGUAGCUGCAAGCUGCGUCGGAGGCCGUAAACAUGGGUGUCAGUGAAGAGGAACUUCAGUUUGAAUGGCUGCAGCUUGCAAAUUUACCAUGAUUUGGAGAUGUAAUUUAGUUUCAGCCUCCGUAGGUUUAGUCCACAAGUUCUGGCCUGUUUUGUGGAAUGCGUGUGAUUAGGGGAAGCAGGGAGGGAUUUUGUUUUUGUCAAGGAUUUGCUUUUAUUGCAAGCAUCGAGUGUCACUGAAUUGGCAUAACCACAAACAUACAUGGGCAAAUUUGCUGUUUCCACUACUUGAGUGGUGACAGCAAGCACCAGUAGUACAAGAGUGCUGCCUGUCUAUAUUUGGGGCUGUACUGCAGCUUUUGAUUUUUUUAGGAUACUGGUGGCUGGAAUCUGUCAGAUGCAUGGUGUGACAUACACUGGGCACCAAAUGUUUAGAGUUUCAUGCCAGCUGACUGAUGGUUGAAGGAUUCUGUUAGAUUAUUCAUAUUUAUUUCUCAACUAUUUUUUUUAGGCCCGUAGGAAGAAUCUUUGCCAUCCCAAAGGGUUUUGCUCAACAGAUACCGUAGGAUACUCACUCAGCAGUGGCUGAAUUAGUCUGAUCUGGAAAGGGACAGUGUUUUUCAGGAUAUCUGCAAGUGUUCAAUGCAUUGCACCAACUGCUGACUUCUCUAGCAACAUCUUGGGCCAACCUGCAUGGAAAGGAAUGGAAACUAAUACCUUUUAAUGAAUGCCGUAAUAGAUCCCAAUGCCAGCUGUAUGGCCUUGGUGCUGUCUGUGUUUGGUAUUCCAGAUUACCUAACUCGUUCUGAUAUCUUUGUUUAGAUUUCUCCAUUCUUGGCAACAGCAGCUCGGUUUUUGUUUUACUACUGAUGUUAUGUGAGCACCAGAUGGAAAACACCUCUUAUCUUUCAUCUUGUCCUGCACGGGAUCUUCAGUUUGUAACGUUAACUAGACUGUAACUCUCACAAUAGCUGUUCUGUGAGUGCAGAGCUCCAGGCUGCUGCUGCUAGGCACCCCAUGUCUCCAUCUCUGAUUUUGUGCAAAUUUUCCAAUGAAUUUGAGCAUUGGCAUUGACUUUACUUGCGUCUAAAGAAGAUACUGUAAGCUGUGUGAAUUGAAAUAAAGCUUAUUUAUUUUAGUUAGCUAGUAUGCUAAAUACCAACUUUUAGCUUAAUGAUUGGCUUGAAUGUAAAAGCUACAUUGCUAUAGUAGCAUAAUGGAAAGUAAAAGUGAAGGCUGUGUAGCUGCUGUUCAUUGUGGGUUCAACUACUUCUCUAUUAUUGGAGCAGAUAUUAAUUGGUAGCACAGGGUAUUUUAUAACUGUUUUUUAAAGAAAAAGUCCUUAACUGAAACGAUUGCCUGAGCAGCUGUUAAAUGUAGACCAGGCCUGGGAUAAAGCUUGAGCUUGUUACUGGCACGGCAGCAGCAGGGAAACACCAGGUGACCUAUGGGUUUCCCCCUCGCCCACACGCAGCUCCUUGCGAGCUCCAUGUUGUGUAACUGCUUGAAAGGAAUAAAAGGCUGUGACUUGACAUUGGGGCAAGACAGUUCUCUCAUUUAAAUGGGAGAGAAUAGGCUUUUAUAGAGAGCAGGCUUUGACCAGAAUCUGAGUACCUUCGUACUGUCACAAGAGGAAGGGAAACUGUUUUACAGAGGCCUUUUCUUCAAGAUUGCUUGAAUUGAUUUUGUUUUCAUGGCUUCAAAGGUCAGCAUUAGGCAGCCAAAUUCUAUUUCAUCUUCCCAUUCAGAGGGUGCUCCUUACGUUUCAGCUUGUUGCGGUGUCUGUAUCUCUCUAGUUUUGCAGUUCCACAGAAGGUCAACCAGUAGAAAGUCAACAAAAAUGAAAGGAUGUGUUUGAGGCCAGUUGCAACUUCUUGAGAGCAAGUAGAGAGCUGUAACUUUGCUUUGCGUUUGGUAAAGUGAGAAACCCUCGUUUUUGUUUAAGAGCAGUGAUUGGCACGUGUGUUAUAGGAUAGCUGAGGUUCAUUCCUACGAAUUUAUGCCUGGAUUAUCUUUGGACAAUUCUUAGUUUCUUUCUUUUUAUUUCAGACUCCGUGAAAGCAGAAGGCCAGUUGGAAUGGCAGGCAGGAUAAGCGGCCUGACUCCGUUGGUGUUUAAGUGGAGCUCUGGUAUUCUAGUGCAUUCUUUUACCUCUGCUUCUGUUGCGUUGCAAGCUGUGCUAGAGAAGACGUAGGAAAUUCAUUUUACCCAAUCAGCAAUUGUAACAAUGGACUACAAACCUGCAGAGCAAGCCGGUUUGCUGGAAAACAGGAAUUCCUGCAGCGCAGCACUUGUCACAGACUAUCCAAAGAGGGCAAAGAUUCAGGAGAGUGAAUAAAUUGAACAUUGAUUGAAUGAGGUCAGGAACGGUCUCCCGGAGGAGAGCCCUGCCCUAAAAUACUACUUUGAGAGUAUAAGCCAAUUUAAUGCGCAGAUUAACCCUUCUCAUUUGAGCAAACUUGUGUGCAAUCCUGGAUCUUUGCAGAUCACGACUGGACACUUCAAAAAAAAAACAAAAUCUGUGUACUAUAUUUGCUUAAAAAAUAAAUCCUACCUUGUCUUGUUACACCUGUUAAUUUUAGCAUUUCAUUGACAAUAUCUGCAACAGAAAUGUAUAUUUGACUUGACGCAGUAUCCUACAUUUGGUAUAACUCAGGUUGUUGACAAAAUUAUUCUGUGAGGCUCAGUACCACCUCUUCGUUCUGCUCUGAACAAAGUUCUUUAACCAUUGCUGUCAUUUCCAGAAGUAAUUUAUAGCCCAUGUAUGCAUUGCAAAAUUCUUGAACGGAUUUAAUAGCUGACCUAAAUUAUUGUUCUUGUUUUAUCCUCAUAGAAUAGUUAGCAUCUUGAACGUCAGACCAGACUUUUGUGGUCUGACGUUCAUGAAAAUCAUUCAUUGGUUCAUGGUUUAAUUGUUUUACAUCUCCGUAUUUUGUUUUCUUUUCCUCUCCCCUCGCAUACUAGGGAGUAUGAUCAAGGUAAUACUAUGAUCCAGUAACGCGCUUGAUGGUAAGGGUUUGCCUUUAGUUGUUUCAGGAAAAAAAAACCAACUGCCGUUAUCUGCUCUCCUUUAACUUUCUUGAUAGUUUCAAUAAUAUGCUUAACAUGAAGUGUUUGUAAAUCGAUUAAAAAAAAAAUGUUUGUGACUUCACCUAAAUAAAUUUUUAUAUAUAUGAA